AUUGAACGCUGGCGGCAUGCCUUACACAUGCAAGUCGAACGGUAACAGGUUAAGCUGACGAGUGGCGAACGGGUGAGUAAUGUAUCGGAACGUGCCCAGUCGUGGGGGAUAACUACUCGAAAGAGUGGCUAAUACCGCAUACGACCUGAGGGUGAAAGCGGGGGACCGUAAGGCCUCGCGCGAUUGGAGCGGCCGAUAUCAGAUUAGCUAGUUGGUGGGGUAAAAGCCCACCAAGGCGAAGAUCUGUAGCUGGUCUGAGAGGACGACCAGCCCCACUGGGAGUGAGACACGGCCCGGAGUCCUAGGGGAGGCAGCAGUGGGGAAUUUUGGACAAGGGACGCAAGUCUGAUCCAGCCAUGCCGCGUGCGGGAAGAAGGCCUUCGGGUUGUAAACCGCUCUUGUCAGGGAAGAAACGAGUUUCUCUAAUACAGAGACUUAAUGACGGUACCUGAAGAAUAAGCACCGGCUAACUACGUGCCAGCUGCCGCCGUAACAC
rnacentral:rRNA from 1 species